AGUGAACGCUGGCGGUAGGCCUAACACAUGCAAGUCGAACGGCAGCACAGUAAGAGCUUGCUCUUACGGGUGGCGAGUGGCGGACGGGUGAGGAAUACAUCGGAAUCUACUUUUUCGUGGGGGAUAACGUAGGGAAACUUACGCUAAUACCGCAUACGACCUACGGGUGAAAGCAGGGGAUCUUCGGACCUUGCGCGAUUGAAUGAGCCGAUGUCGGAUUAGCUAGUUGGCGGGGUAAAGGCCCACCAAGGCGACGAUCCGUAGCUGGUCUGAGAGGAUGAUCAGCCACACUGGAACUGAGACACGGUCCAGACUCCUACGGGAGGCAGCAGUGGUGAAUAUUGGACAAUGGGCGCAAGCCUGAUCCAGCCAUACCGCGUGGGUGAAGAAGGCCUUCGGGUUGUAAAGCCCUUUUGUUGGGAAAGAAAAGCAGCAGGUUAAUACCCCGCUGUUCUGACGGUACCCAAAGAAUAAGUACCGGCUAACUUCGUG
rnacentral:rRNA from 1 species